UUUGAAUCGGUUUCAUUUCAAGCAGACGCCAAGCAUCAACAGCGUGGUCUGUGCUAUGUGAUUGCAUUGUUACUGCUGGAGUGAGCAAUUUCAGAUUGCGUUAUGAUGGCGUGCCCCGUUAGCGUCGUGAUCGGCGUGCCCUGUUAGCGUCAUGGUUGGCGUGCCCUGUGUUAGCGUCAUGAUUGGCGUGCCCUGUGUUAACACGAUAUGUUUUAUUUAUUCGUGUGCUGUGAUUUCAACACCAGCAUUGGUCAGAGGAGACUCGCAAGAAAAAUGUUCAGCUACUCUGACGUUGUGGAAAGACUUCGCGUUUUCGAGUGCGCUCUUGUGCGUUUUGUCGACUCAACGUUCGACAAUCAACGUAGUUGUUACAGCCGCUUACUUCCAAGUGACCGUGUGUUUUUCUUCACCAUUCUUGCGUAAGUUCAACGGACUGGUGGUCGAUUGAGCUUUUCACCAUCCGUAAGCACUGUCUGGUUUGCAGAUUAUUAUUUCAGCACUUAUUCAGGCUACGCCAAGUAUCGCGAGUUGUUUUGUAUGACUCAUGCGCGCCUUCUCUGGUGGAUUGAGUCUGAUGAGGACAUUUUCCAUCCAAUUCCGCACCGUUCUGAUUUCUACACUGAAGUAACACAGGCUGAAAUGGAUAAUCGUGGACCAUCAGACGGUCCACGAUUAUCGUUAUAUGUAUGUUUAAGAUGACCAAUUCAACUAUUAAAAUUUGUGCGCAGUAUAACCGAAAUUUUCUCGUUCACCAAGCAAGGAGUGUUAGCAGGUAUCGAAAAAAAAACCUUGUUUAAAACAGCGAAUGAGCAAAAUUGUGCCGUUCCUUUCCUCUUCUGGAAAGAAUGGCCAAUGUUUUUCUCCGUGGUUUAUGCAUAGUUGAAGUAAACGAAGUUCAUUUUUUCAUCUUUUAUUUUCAUUAAAAUUAUAGAAAAAUUGAUUGCAGAUAAAAAGACCCUUGGAUUAUCAAGUUUAGAGUUGACAACAUUCGGUUGCUCUUGCAAAUGGAUUCUGAAAUGAGAGUUAAUCAGUCAUGUGUUCACCUUAAAGGGAAACCUUCAGGUAAGUACAAGUGUAUUCCAACUCAUUUCCUGCAUGAACAAAUUAAGGAUUUCAAGACAGGUGCUGCACUUAAAUCCACUGCGGAAGCAAUUAGCCAAGUAGAAGAUGGAACUGGCUAGGAAACAACAGCAGAAAUGUUUACCAGUUUCUUCCAGCCAUUACGUCAUACGUUGAUGCAUUAAAAGUUCCACAUGUCUUAAUUGAGAAUUAAAGCUCGCUUCAAAGUUGUUUGUUGAUUAGUAUUUUUGUUUUUUUGCUUUAUAGGUACUCCUUAGAGAAUUGUAAAACGGAGCAGGCGGUAUUACAACCUCUUUUUGUUAUGUAACACACCGAGGAGAGACCAAAAAAAUGUCCUUUAUUUUCCGAUUCAAUUUUGGAUCUGACUUCUUCAUUCAUAGAAACAGUUCUGUGAUAUUCUCGGGUACCUGCCUAUGUAAUUACCGAUGAUUAAGUGUACCCUUCACCUUGCACGGGUUUCCAUUCUCGCCUCAUGAGUGUUUUUCAAGAUGAGGACAAACUAUAGCACUACUGCUUCGAAUGUUAAUUUGUCAAACGACCAUCAUUUCAUGUAGUAUCUUAGUCAUGUAGCAUCUUGGCACUGACAAAAAAAAAUCAGUAUCUGACAUUUGUCACAAGAACGUUCGUAUAAUACAUGAAGAACAUCAACACCUACGCUACUAUUGCUAAAGAAAAAUGUGCCCUCGUUGCGAAAAUUGGUACCUCAACUGUUACACAGUGCUCAUAAUGAUUAGUCUGCCUUGACUACUACAACUCGACAAGAAAAACUCCUAGGAGAGUACAUUCUUCAAUGUGGUGAGUUUUUUCGUUGUCGUUUCAGGGCUUAUGUCAUACGAUAGCCAUUCUUUAAUUUAAUUUUUUGUUAUUGCGGAAACCGUUUUGAAGAAUGAGCGUCGGUGUUCUCAAUUUCAAAUAACAUCAGUUAACCUGUUGGCUACCACCCAUUUUUAUAUCGUUAACACGAUCUUAAGGGUAACGGUUAACGUUAUUCUUUAAGCUUGCAGUUAAAAUGAGCUAGUUAACCUGUUGGCUACCACCCAUUUCACGAACAUAAGAAUGAUGUUUAACGUUAUCCUGUAAGCUUGCAGUUUAACUAAGCUAGUUAACCUGUUGGCUAUCACCCAUUUUUAACCCGUCAGCACGAACUUAAGAAUAACGUUUAGCGUUAUCGUUAAGUUUGUAAAUUAAUUAAAAUAAUUAACCAGUUGGCUACCACCCAUUUUUAACCCAUCAACUCAAACUUAAGGAUGAAGGUUAACGUUAUCCUGUAAGCUUGCAGUUUAACUAAGUUAGUUAACCUGUUGGCUACCACCCAUUUUUAACCCGUCAGCACGAACUUAAGAAUGACGUUUAGCGUUAUCGUUAAGUUUGCAGAUUAAUUAAAAUAAUUAACCAGUUGGCUACCACCCAUUUUUAACCCAUCAACUCAAACUUAAGGAUGAAGGUUAACGUUAUCCUGUCAGCUUGCAGUUUAACUAAGCUAGUUAACCUGUUGGCUACCACCCAUUUUUAUCCGGUUAGCUCGAACUUAAGGAUGACAGUUAACGUUAUCCUUUAAGCUUGCAGUUUAACUAAGCUAGUUAACCAGUUGGCUACCACCCAUUUUUAACUCAUCAACUCAAACUUAAGGAUGAAGGUUAACGUUAUCCUGUAGGCUUGCAGUUUAACUAAGCUAGUUAACCUGUUGGCUACCACCCAUUUUUAACCCGUUAGCACGAACUUAAGAAUGACGUUUAGCUUUAUCGUUUUGUUUGCAGAUUAAUUAAAAUAAUUAACCAGUUUGCUACCACCCAUUUUUAACCCAUCGACUCAAACUUAAGGAUGAAGGUUAACGUUAUCCUUUUAGCUUGCAGUUAACUAAGCUAGUUAACCUGUUGGCUACCACCCAUUUCACGAACAUAAGAAUGAUGUUUAACGUUAUCCUUUAAGUUUGAAGUUUAACUAAGCUAGUUAACCUGUUGGCUACCACCCAUUUUCAUUUCGUUAGAACGAAUCUAAGAAUGACCUUUAGCGUUAUCGUAUAAGUUUGCAGAUUAAUUAAAAUAAUUAACCAGUUGGCUACCACCCAUUUUUAACUCAUCAACUCAAACUUAAGGAUGAAUGUUAACGUUAUCCUGUAAGCUUGCAGUUUAACUAAGCUAGUUAACCUGUUGGCUACCACCCAUUUUUAACCCGUCAGCACGAACUUAAGAAUAACGUUUAGCGUUAUCGUUAAGUUUGCAAAUUAAUUAAAAUAAUUAACCAGUUGGCUACCACCCAUUUUUAACCCAUCAACUCAAACUUAAGGAUGAAGGUUAACGUUAUCCUGUAAGCUUGCAGUUUAACUAAGCUAGUUAACCUGUUGGCUACCACCCAUUUUUAUCCGGUUAGCUGGAACUUAAGGAUGACAGUUAACGUUAUCCUUUAAGUUUGCAGUUUAACUAAGCAAGUUAACCUGUUGGCUACCACCCAUUUUUAACCCAUCAGCUCAAACUUAAGGAUGAUGGUUAACGUAUCCUUUAAGCUUGCAGUUUAACUAAGUUAGUUAACCUGUUGGCUACCACCCAAUUUUUAUCCUCUAUCGACAGCAUGGUAAUACUGAUUCUCAUAAUUUUUCAUUUGACAGGCAUUGCCUUUAUUGUCUAGUGCUAAAAAUCCAAAUGUAGGGAUUAACUUUGAGGAUGAAUCUUGUACCCAAGUUGAGUUUCCCGAGCUGUAUUACUGUUUUCAACUUCGUUUCCAAACUGUUUUCACACUUACAUCCAUACUUUUCUUUUCAAUAGGAAAGGAUUUUGACCAUACUAUUGUGGCAAUUUACGGUUUAAUUCAAUUAUAUUUGCCUGGGCACUGCUGGAUGCCCAAUCCACUUCUAUGACCAUAUCCUUUAAACUUUCAGUUUAACCAAGCUAGUUAACCUGUUGGCUACCACCCAUUUUUAACCCGUUAGCUCGAACUUAAGGAUAACAUUAAACGUUAUCCUUUAAGUUGGCAGAUUAACUAAGCUAGUUAACCUGUUGGCUACCACCCAUUUCUAUCCACUGUCGACAGCAUGGAAUGAAUUGCCAGGAUAAAAGCUGUUAGGCCACAGCUUCAUCGCCAAUUCAGCAAUAUACUGUUUUUCCCUACUAUUUUUGCCGUGAUCCGCUUGAAAUUGCGUUCCAAAAGAAACAGACUGUACACUCGUUAUCCAUCAACAGGUUAGCAAACUGGAUCCAACAGUAAGCUUCGAGUUUACUUUUAUUUUACGUUUUUCUGUUACUAGUAGUCGAUCGAGUGGAUUUAACGUUUAUGUGAAAUCCACUCAAUCUACUCAUAGAAAACAGGAACGUAGCGUAAAAUAACAGUUUUUUUAGUUUUUUUUUACAGGGUAAAGAAAAUAGAGACAAUGUAUGGACAUGGGCUUUUGAUGCCACAUGUCCUGAAUCUUCUUAGCAAUCCAUCGAGUGACAUACUCGAUGAAAUGGCAAAUGAAGACUGUAGCGAGAUUCAGAACGGACACAACUUUAAAUACGAUAAAAGCAAGGUCAUCAACAGCAAAAGAAGGUCAAUAUGGGGUGUGUAAAAAAAGAAAUUCUCAAGGUAAGCAAGGGGUUGGAAUUUGAGGGUGAUUCAAGGUUAGUGUAGAGGUAUGUAGUUCUUGGUACUAGCUAUUUAGUCUAGCAUGAGAUUAAUGUGUAAAUGACCUUAAAUUAGUUCAUGGUGGUGUGCAGCUACAUGAGAAAGCAAUUCGUAUGAAAGGCCAAUGAAAGGCGACAGGGAUGUUCGUCACAGUCUGCCAAAGCCACGUGGGAAUUCCGCUGACAUUUGAAAAUUACCACCUUUCAUUUUUCUGCAUUUCCUGAUAUAGCAGAUUUUGUGAAAAUACGGGUUGCACAUCAUCUGAUACAUUGACAACGUAUUCAACAUUUUGAGGUUAAAACUCUUUAUUGAAAACAACAACGACGAUACACGAUUGUGAAGACAAAAAGAACUGCGUCGUGCACUCGGUCGUGCACUCGGUCGUGCACGUACUGAUCGAGACAACAAUAACACAAGAUACGGGUAAAACUGAUUUUAAUAGUAUGGAAAAGCGUUCGAAAAUGCAGCAGAAACAUCGACAAUACUUACUGGGAAUGCAAAACACAUAGCAGUGGAGCCAAUAAUGUUGAAGGUGAGUGGCGAAAUGGCAAGCCACAAAAUAAGAAACGGGUUGAAAAUCAGGUUAUUGCGAAAACGACGGAAAGAGCAGCUAGUGAUUCCAGAUGGAGGUGGCCCUUCGAUCUCGGUCACCUGUACCGAACUAUCACCUUCGAUUGUUGAAGCUGAAGUCACAUCAGCAAAAAAAGUUGAGUCUUCACUCGCCAUGGAAUGGACUACAGAAAGCAAUACGCCCACCAACGCGAAAGUAAGUCUGGAAGUUGAAAAAAGCAUUCUCGUCGUUUCAACGUCAGUUAUGGACAGUAGGAUUUGCACCGUAGCAUUACCUGGAACUUGGCUUAAAUAUCCAACACAGUGAAAGACGACAUAAGGUUGGGUCAGCAAAAAAAAAAAAAAGGGCUGAGAAAGGUUUGCUGAUAAACUACUGACGUUGGAGAGUGGGUUUUCUAAAUAUUGAAGGGAACCAUUAAAGACGGAAUAGUUUUUGGCCAGAUUUAGGGGAGGGUAGUCUCUUUCUACCCUUCAAAGAAAAGGAAGAGUCAUGUAACAUCGCUUUUACAGUUCUGUUCCAUAUAUUUUUCGUAUCAAAGAUAGAAAUGUUACGUCGCGCUGAUUCCAGUUUUUGUCCAUACAUCCAGUAGUAUUUGAAGACAACAGCAGUCAACGAAGACAGUAUGUUAGUAGUGACUUGAAGGCUGGUUGAGGUGCUGUGUAGACAACCUAGUAUCUUUUUACUGCUCAAGUUCAACAGUUAUUGGAUGGUGAUACUCCUAUCAGAAUCGAAAUACCUAGGGGUAGGAAAAUACCUAAGAUUAUUUUGAUUAUCUUUCGAUCAGCAGCAGAGCUAGUUGCAAGAACCCCAUUGUACCACACAUUGUUGUCUUCAUUACUUCACUCAGCGGGUAAUAGCGAUGAACACCAUCACUAUGAAAAUAAAAGAUGCCUUCCUGUUACUUUGACUGUAGUGUAACUAUAGCGGAUUGUUGUUGACCUGUCAACAUACUACGGCUUGCCAGUGGGCUUGAUUCACGUCCAAAUAGUGUUAUCCAAACGUAAGUUAAUCCCUCGUUGAAAGAAGGUGUUUAGAACGGAGACUGUUCGCAUUUGGGUAAGUAAGAAAUUGACUUACAAGUCCACAGCUUUUGGAUUAUUAUUUGUGCAUGUGUUCUUUGUUUUGAUUUCUAUGACAGUGUUUCAUAUUCUGCAUGGGCUGUCUGUGCUAUUUCCACCCAUCUGUUAUGGUAGUUUUGUAAUUUGUAGUGUAUACUUUCAUCAAGUGCGCUGGGGAAAAAAAUUGCAAUGUGCUACAAAUCUAGCACAUGUUGGAACACAAGGUCGAAGUUUUUUUGUAAACUUAACGAAGAAAGACUCUUUCAUUCUCUAUUGAGUGCCCUUUCACGUGUCUGACUUCUAAUAUUUUACGAACCAUCUCCUUAAAGCAAUGGCCACAUUUUCUUGUAGUAUUUUCUAACACAAACUCCGGUUUUCUUGCGUCAAACCCAAAGCUUAAUCGGAAUAUGGAGAGAAAAAAAAGUCAAUUCCAAGAAAUCUCGUACAGUCAAACUACUUUACAGGUGCAGAAGUCUAUAAAUUUCUGGAACAACGGAAGGGCAAGUAAAAUAGCUGUUUUUAUGCUCGCGUUUAGUAAACUGGUUUGGCUGUCUGUUAGGACUCGAUACUCAUUUACUGUCCGUUCGACGGCUUCGAACCACUCCAUCAAGCAUUAACAAACCUACGGUAACAAUUCACUGCUGUCGGUCCGUCAAAUGGAAUCAGGUCUGAAAGUAAUCAAGCGUCAUGCAAUGCCUGUAUCAUUCAUUUAAUGAAAGUUUAAUUUAUUUAUUGGUCUCAUCCAUACUUCAAAGACAUUUUUAGUCUUCUUUUUCUUUGUCACAUUCAAUAUGGAUCUUGAGUAGACGUAGCAAUGCACCGCUACUCGUUGGAGCCAAUAUCUGGUAAGUCAGCAAAAUGUAAAACAAAAUAAUUUUCUUUGGCUAGUUGAAAAUUAGACCUAAAAUUAUUUUAUGUAACCUCCGAACCUUUCAAUGUUCGUUUAUAACUUUAAAUUAUUUAUGAAGUAUCGUCUGUUAUAAUUUCGAUGAUAACCCUAGGCCCUAGGAAUGAUUAGCAGACUUGGGCGAGUCGCCAGAUGUUUAUAAAAAUGAACGCGCCCAAGUUAUUUUGGACCUUUCAGGCUUUCAGUUAUAUCUUACACGAAGUAUAUGUAAGAGUUCGAUUCUGUGUUUUAACAUUUGAUAUUUUGGAAAAUUCAUACAUUUAAUUCAAAUGUGUAUUAUUAGAAAUAAAUGUUGUUUUUUUGUUUUUUUUUGCCAACUUCUCAUUCUCGCGUAUUUGGCACUUUUUGCACUGUUUAAUCCCAAGCUGACAACAUGUGAUAAUGUCGGUGUGUGACGAGAAAAGAAAGAAAACCAAGUUACUUUGUCUCAGACGAGCUUUGGCGCGCUUUCUAUUGACUAAAACUUUCGAUCUGGGAAACAUGUUUGGCUUGUUAACGUCUGAAUUAUUUUGUGCUAAACUGCUUGUGUUUUCUGUUGGCUAUUGUCCAAUCGACAUUUGGUAAAAAAAAACACACAAGACUGAGAGAACCCAAGACAGGGAGUUAAAAUCGAGAUUCUAAUUCAGCAAGUGAUACAGUGGCUACGAGAUAUCCAAAUGCGACACGAGGUGAAAUUUUGGGCCGCCCCCAGCUGACGCCAUUCGAGGAAUAGAUAGUUGCAGCAGGUUGCAGGAGAUCCGAUGUACUACUUGCCCCUUUUAAUAAGUAAACGGGGUGAAUGUUUACACGACCUCUUGGGUAACACAGCAUCUCUUGGGAGUGACAGGUUAACCUAAUCCGACAAGAAAAAGAGGACGAUGACAACGAGGCAAAGGUUUCCCCUUUAGACAUUCAACGGAUAAUCUUAUUUGAUGUACAGCACACACACGACGCUCAAAGAAAUAUUAUCGUGUAGUACAUGUCGGAAUUUAACAUGAUGGGGCUUGUAUUAAUGCAUUAAAACAUUUUAUUUAAUUUU
rnacentral:lncRNA from 1 species